rnacentral:rRNA from 3 species
CUCGGCAACGGAUAUCUAGGCUCUCGCAUCGAUGAAGAACGUAGCAAACUGCGAUACUUGGUGUGAAUUGCAGAAUCCCGUGAACCAUCGAGUCUUUGAACGCAAGUUGCGCCCGAAGCCACUAGGUUGAGGGCACGUCUGCCUGGGCGUCAC